AGAGUUUGAUCCUGGCUCAGAGCGAACGCUGGCGGCAGGCUUAACACAUGCAAGUCGAACGGACUCUUCGGAGUUAGUGGCGGACGGGUGAGUAACACGUGGGAACGUGCCUUUUGGUUCGGAAUAGCUCCUGGAAACGGGUGGUAAUGCCGAAUGUGCCCUUCGGGGGAAAGAUUUAUCGCCAUUAGAGCGGCCCGCGUCUGAUUAGCUAGUUGGUGAGGUAAAGGCUCACCAAGGCUACGAUCAGUAGCUGGUCUGAGAGGAUGACCAGCCACAUUGGGACUGAGACACGGCCCAAACUCCUACGGGAGGCAGCAGUGGGGAAUCUUGCGCAAUGGGCGAAAGCCUGACGCAGCCAUGCCGCGUGUAUGAUGAAGGUCUUAGGAUUGUAAAAUACUUUCACCGGUGAAGAUAAUGACUGUAGCCGGAGAAGAAGCCCCGGCUAACUUCGUGCCAGCAGCCGCGGUAAUACGAAGGGGGCUAGCGUUGCUCGGAAUUACUGGGCGUAAAGGGAGCGUAGGCGGACAUUUAAGUCAGGGGUGAAAUCCCGGAGCUCAACUCCGGAACUGCCUUUGAUACUGGGUGUCUUGAGUGUGAGAGAGGUAUGUGGAACUCCGAGUGUAGAGGUGAAAUUCGUAGAUAUUCGGAAGAACACCAGUGGCGAAGGCGACAUACUGGCUCAUUACUGACGCUGAGGCUCGAAAGCGUGAGGAGCAAACAGGAUUAGAUACCCUGGUAGUCC
rnacentral:rRNA from 1 species